rnacentral:rRNA from 1 species
UAGUCCACGCCGUAAACGAUGGAUACUAGGCGUCCGGGAAGUUAACCUCCUGGGUGCUACAGCUAACGCGUUAAGUAUCCCGCCUGGGGAGUACGGUCGCAAGGCUAAAACUCAAAGGAAUUGACGGGGGCCCGCACAAGCGGUGGAGUAUGUGGUUUAAUUCGAUGAUACGCGAGGAACCUUACCUGGGCUUAAAUGUAGAACGACUUUUGCUGAAAGGCAAUUUCCCUUCGGGGCGAUCUACAAGGUGCUGCAUGGUUGUCGUCAGCUCGUGCCGUGAGGUGUCGGGUUAAGUCCCAUAACGAGCGCAACCCCUAUUGUUAGUUACCAGCGGAUAAUGCCGGGGACUCUAGCGAGACUGCCACCGUAAGGUGAGAGGAAGGUGGGGAUGACGUCAAGUCCUCAUGGCCCUUACGGGUUGGGCUACACACGUGCUACAAUGGUAGUGACAAUGGGAUAAUCCCAAAAACUAUACUCAGUUCGGAUUGGGGUCUGCAACUCGACCCCAUGAAGUUGGAAUCGCUAGUAAUCGCGUAACAG